rnacentral:tmRNA from 1 species
GGGGAUGUAAAGGUUUCGACGGGGAUUGUGAAGCAUGGGUAGCGAGUAGAGGAGCAUGCACCUCUAUAAAAGUAUGACGUUUUAAAACUAAACGACAACGAUAGUUUUGCUUUUGCAGCUUAAUUAAGCUGCCGUCUGUCCAGUGAGUACCACGGCUCUGGAACAGGCGUCGAUGAGUGGUGAACGGGCUUGCUGAGCACCUCGUAGGCAAUGCUUGUAUCAGAGGUUACCUCCCUUGGAAGCCUGCCAGCUGGCGUCCUGGGGCGGGAAUCGCAGUAGACUGGCUGCACUCGGAGAAACCUGUGUGAAUCGGUUUUCGGACAGGGGUUCAAUUCCCCUCAUCUCCAUUG